rnacentral:rRNA from 1 species
GAUGAACGCUGGCGGCGUGCCUAAUACAUGCAAGUCGAGCGAACAGAUGAGGAGCUUGCUCCUCUGACGUUAGCGGCGGACGGGUGAGUAACACGUGGAUAACCUACCUAUAAGACUGGGAUAACUUCGGGAAACCGGAGCUAAUACCGGAUAAUAUAUUGAACCGCAUGGUUCAAUAGUGAAAGACGGUUUUGCUGUCACUUGUAGAUGGAUCCGCGCCGCAUUAGCUAGUUGGUAAGGUAAAGGCUUACCAAGGCAACGAUGCGUAGCCUACCUGAGAGGGUGAUCGGCCACACUGGAACUGAGACACGGUCCAGACUCCUACGGGAGGCAGCAGUAGGGAAUCUUCCGCAAUGGGCGAAAGCCUGACGGAGCAACGCCGCGUGAGUGAUGAAGGUCUUCGGAUCGUAAAACUCUGUUAUUAGGGAAGAACAAAUGUGUAAGUAACUAUGCACGUCUUGACGGUACCUAAUCAGAAAGCCACGGCUAACUACGUG